UUCAGUUUUCUGAUAUCUUUAUCUAUAAAUGUUACUAUGGUGUGAACGGAAAUACAAUUGGUUUUUGAUGUGAAAUACAGCAAAMACAAGGUUAUUCAGGAAAAUAGUACAUAGUGCUGCCUAAAACAUACUGCAACAUUGUACUAAAUGAUUUUUGAGUCAUUUAUAUGAAUUUGGUGAAAUCUACUAGAGGUUAAGUGCAUUUACGUUGUGUAGACUAAUUUAAAGCAGGUACUUUGUCUAAUUUUAAGGAAUUCAUGUUUUGUUCUAUUCUACCUGUUCUAUUGAAAUGAGAUCAGUGCUUAACUUGAACAGAAUAUUAACAGUAUUUUGGAGCUCCUGCACCUAGAAAUGAGUCCUGGCACCUAUUUCAGUCCAAGUCAAGCACUGAAAUAGAUAAUUUAACAAUAAGUAUUUUUUGAGAAUAACGAAAGUGCCAGACCUGUCAAUACUAACUUUUGUGUCUGUUUCUCUUUAUUACUUCAGGCCGACUCAGAUUAAGUCUGAGGUUUGUAACAUCAACAGUGAGGACAGACUCAGCCUGCCUCUCUCCUUCCACAGUGAGUUCAAACCUACAGUCACUGGGUCCUGAUUGUGACAGUGGAGCCCAGUUUGCACRGCAGGAUCCAGAGAUGGCGUCAGUGAAGCUGGAAGACUGCAGUCAAACAAUGGAGCUGAAUGUCAACAUUAAAGAUGAAGACGAUAAGAUUGGGAUAUCUCUUUCUCAAGGAGACCAUGUUGAGACAUUCUCUACAUCCAGAGAGAAACAGCAGGAAGAUCACAGAGCUAAGAGGUCUCACCACUGCCCACAUUGUGAGGAGAAUUUUUCAAUUCUAUCAAAGCUAAAAUAACUAAAAAUACACACAGGAGAGAAUCGUAUUCCUGUACUGACUGUGGGAAGAAUUCACAACAUCAAAGGCUCUGACAGUUCAUCAGAGAGUGCACCUGGAGAGAAGCCUUACUCCUGCCUCUGACUGUGGAAAGAUUUACUUCGACUGGGCACUUAAAAAGACAUGAACGUAUGCACACAGGAGCGAAGCCUUACUCCUGCUCUGAUGUGGAAAGAGUUUCUCUAAACUGUACAACUUAAACAACAUGAACGUGUACUACAGGAGAGAAGCUUUUCCUGCUCUGACUGUGAAAAAUGCUUCAAAAGAUCAACUGCUCUAAAGUUAUCAGAGAACACACACAGGAGAAAAGCCUUACUCCUGCUCUGACUGUGGAAAGGUUUUCUCUCAACUGGUGACUUAAAAAUACAUGAACGUAUACAUAAGGAGAGAAGCCGUACUCCUGCUCUGACUGUGAUAAAUGCUUCAAAACAUCAACUGAGCAAAAAGUU